AUGGAAGGGGGUCAUCAGGCAGCAAAAAGCAGACGGCGCCCACCUCGGCCUUUGGACCACCGAGAGGCAGAAGCAGCGGUGCUGACAGGCCACUCUAAAUGCAGCCUGGCGCCUGGAUGGAAUUCCUCAGCCUGGCCUCGGGGCAGUUUGCGGGGAGGGAGGGCGAGCUCUCUUGGAAGCCCAGCUGGAAAGAUUGAGGGCAAAAGGAGAAGAGGGUGGCAGAGGAUGAGAUGGUUGGAUGGCAUCAUCGACUCAAUGGACAUAAGUUUGAGCAAACUCCAGGAGAUAGUGAAGGACAGGGAAGCCUGGUGUGCUGCCAUCCAUGGGGUCGCAAAGAGUCAGACACCACUUAGCGAUUGACCAACAACUAGAGAAAGCCUGAUCCUCACGAGUCAGAAGGGACCACACCAGUCCUCUGGCCCCUCCUCCAGAGACUGAGGUUACUGUUGAGCAAAAGUGAAAUUUAUCUGAACCUAGUCUAUGGUCAGCUGUAACAUGGGCUUUACUUGGAAUGAACUCAGCCAUACGGAUGGAGCCCAGGGGAAAGGGUUUUUUAAAAAUUAUUAUUGUGAGUGAAACUCAUUUACAAUUAUAGUACAGAGAAUGGUCAUUUGCAUGCUUUAAACUCUCUAGCAGAUAAUGGUGACACGCUGUGCUAAGUGACUGAAAAGUUACAAGAUAAUUAAACACUGUCUGGCAGUUGCUUGGAUUUUUAAGUAUUUCUUAGAAUGGGCAAGCUACAUAAAACCUAACCAAGUUCCAGCUAAAAGUCUAACAGUUCUGAUGGAAACUGUUAAACCAGUUCUGCAAAAAGAGACAAACAGCUUCAAACUGCCAGGUAUCAGUAUUAUUGUAAUAUUCCCUUUAUCAAAAACCUAUAACUGAAAUUUAUAGGUAAGAAUUUACAGUAAGCAGCAGGUACUUGGAAACUUGUCAGUUAAGAUUUCCCAUUAGAGAAGAGAUUCUGCUGUAAGCUUUUUAACCCUCUAAUGUCAGAGAGAAAAAAAAACUUUCACAAUUAGUUUCUAAGGAAAUUAUAUAAAAGUCAUAAUAACUAAGAGGAAAAGCUUUAGAUUGUCAUUUCCAAUAGGACACAACCUCCUAAAGAAAACACACCCUGGUGGGUUGUUUUCAGAAGACUGUACAUAAACAAAAAUCAAAAUCUAUAUUCUUUAUAUAUUUCUAAAGAAAAUAGUUAACAAAAUCACCUUAAAGUGACUUCAUUUCCUGCUGCUCUCCCAACCUCCUCAAAACUGAGAAUAUAACAAAUAUUUGCAUAGGUUUAUUAUUCACAUUUAAUCAUGAAUAAUUCACUUUGUACAGACAGCUGGGUAAACAAGAGUUUUGGAGUUUCCUUUUUCUAGAAUAUUUUCCCCUUGGCUGAAAGGAAACAGCUUCAGUGUGGUUUGACAUGGUUUCCAGUGCCAUCCUGUCCCGUCCCCUGAGCAGGAGGGAUCCCCUGUUUCAGGCAUUUUCUCUUUUUUCCUUUCUUUCUCUCUUUCUGUCAGUUCUUAGGCUACAGUUCACAACCAUACACACACACACAUAUGUAUAUAUAAUUAUUAUUAUGAAAAAUGAGCUCCACCACUCAAGUCUGUGGUCGGCAAAACAAGUGAAUGGUCACAGAUGUGCUUUUGGGUGGAUCCUCUUCUGAGUGCUGGGAAAAGAUCUCCCCAGCUCAUUCUGCCUCGUCAUUAGCUCCUUCACCUUCUCCUAUCAGUUCAUGAACAAUUUCACAAUUAUUUGACUAUCUGCCACAAAGCCGGCUCCCAUUUCCCUCUGCUCCUCCCAGGCCUACGUGAGGAAGUGAAGCACGUACCACUGUGCACAGGUUUACCCAGGGCAUUUCAGUCUGGGCAAGGGGGCAUCGUUUACCAAAGGUCAAGGAUCCUUCCAGCUCUGUGGAUGUCACCAGCCAAACUGUGAUAGUAUAACUUGCGGUUUAGGAGACAAUUAGGCUUGCCGUCACUCGGCUAUGACCGAAUCGGGGGGUUGGGGGAGGUCAUAGUAUACCCUUGGGAAAUCCCUGCUCUUUGUCACGACCUGGCAAAGAGCUUUAAGAAUCUUAGCCACCCAGCAAAUCCCAUGUGUCCACCCUAACUGUGUUAGUUGAGGGCAGACACAGGCCUAGGGAUAUUUGUACCCUCUCUUCAGCAGUCGGUGUCAUGAAGCACGAAUGCCAUGGCCGAGAGCGUUCCAAAGAAAAUUAGCCACAAUUCGACCAAAUUAGAAAAACGGUACUGAUGAAAAUAAUGAUGAACCUAUUUGCAGGGCAGCAAUAGAGACGACGACAUAGAGAACAGACUUGGGGGAGGGGGAGGGGCAGAGACGGUGGGACGAAUGGGGAGGGUGUAGCCACAGUCCCGCGUGUGAAGUAGACGGCCGGCGGGAAGCUGCUGCCUGACGCAGGGAGCUCAGCCCGGCGCUCUGCGAUGACCUAGGAGGGUAGGGUCGGGGCGGGAGGGGCGCUCCAGAGGGAGGGGAUACGCGUAUACACUACGGCUGAUUCACACUGUUGUACAGCAGAAGCUAACGCAACAUUGUAAAGCAAUUAUACUCCAAUUAAAAUUUAAAAGAAAGUAAAAAUUUUCUUCAUUGAACAAAAGUGUUAGACAUGUUCUAAGCACUUUACACACAUAAACUCUUUACUUGCUAUAACCACCUUAUAUAAUAGGUAUAAUCCUUACCCCCAUUUUACAGAUGAGGAAAAGGAGGCACAGAGAAAUCAAAGAAUUCACUGAUUGUCAGGAAGUGGGAGGGCCAGGACUCAAACCAGGCAGUCUGGCUCCGAAGUCUGAGCUUCCACUCACCAUGCUCUGCUAUGGGCAUAAAUCCCUGCUUACGGUAAAGAGUUUAGAAAGAGAAGAAAACAUGAAGAAGAGAACAAUUACUCCUAGUCUCACCACCCAUUUCAGAGUAUUUCCUGUGUGUGUGUGUGUGUGUGUGUGUGUGUGUGUGUGAAAGCAUUGAACUUAGUGGAAUUUCUCAUCAACUCCCCUCUUUCAAUUUUCUGUAUCUUAUGAACAUUUUCUCCCAUGGAAAGAUAUUAAUUUGAGUGAACAUUCAAUUUCCUGAGUCUACUUUGUAAAUACCCACCCAGUCAACUUAGGAAGCACUUAUGAUUGGAGGUAGGUGGGGGGCGGGCGGCUACCCAGAUGGCACAGUGGUAAAGAACCCACCUGCCAAUCCAGGAGACACAAGAGAAGAGGGUUCGAUCCCUGGGUCAGGAAGAUCCCCUGGAGAAGGACAUGGCAACCCACUCCAGUAUUCUUGCCUGGAAAAUUCUAUGGACAGAGGAGCCUGGCAGCCUACAGUCCAGGGAGUCGCAAAGAGUUGGACACGACUGAGCCAUGGAGCGCACACACACAUAUAUGACUAGGGGAGGGGGAGGUCGGGGGCAUCUGGUUUAGAAGAGGCCUUAUUUCCCCAAAUACAAACAACUUCUCUGAAAAUGGACUCAGCAUGGUUUCUUUUAAGUGACCUGGAAAAAAAAAAAAAACGUGUUGUGUCUGGAAACAUAGCGUGACUUUCCCCUUCAAAGCGUUUUGUGUUGUGUCCACUUCAUAUUGUUCAGUUUCCUCUGGGCGGGGCAGGGGGAGUGAGUCUGGGUUCACAGAGAUAUGCAGGCUAGUCAACAGGAAACCCGAAGUCCCUGAUACAGCACGGUGGCCUCUAAUCACAGCCCGGCCUGGCCACUUUCUCUGACAGGUGUUGCAAAAAUAAUAAUAAAUGCUCGAAAGAACCAUUUGCCCAGUAAACAGAGCUGUUAUUAAAAACUGGCAUCAUAUACCAAGACACUGAAGAGCUGUCUCGGAAGCCAAGACGGUAGUGGCCACUGCUAUGACACGGUGACAGCGUUUGGCCGAGUCACAUGCCAUCCCGUCAACAGCCAGAGAAGUAAACAGCAC
rnacentral:lncRNA from 1 species